AACAGCUUUUGUUUUGGGCAGAAGAACCUAUGGGCACAAAAAGCAGGAACGAGUAGCGGUGGCUGAAGAACGAGCAGGAGCUUGAAUUUCAGUUUUCUUAUGAGGAAUUUUCCAGAAAAGAUAUCUUCACUGUGAAAUAACUAAAUAAAUGCCCACUCAGUACAGUCACUGUCUCCCUUUUGGAACUUGAUGGCACCUUAAGCCCAGGUUUGCCUCCACUCUAGAAACUCAUCAGAGUGAUGCCCUUCUCAAAUGGGGGAGGUCCCAAAGCGGAUAUCCUGGCAGUGUGAAAGGCCGGCUAAAGACAAAAAUACCUGCUACAUGCUUCCUUCUGUAUGAAUACAUGAGACCUACCUUCAUUCAUGUUUCCUCUAUGAAGCUUUCCCUGCACUCCAAACACAGAGCUGAGACUUCCACCUAAUGUAGAAAGCUAGCACGAGCCGGCGCUGACAGAUGGAAGACUUGAGAUGUUACAAGAUUAUAUAUGGAAACACAAAAGGAGUGGAGUUGCUGGGUCAUAUGGCAAUUCAUUUGAGGAACUGAGAAGCUUAUUCCAUGGAGGCUGAACUGUUUUAUAUUCCCACCAGCAACGUGUAAGGUUCCAGUUUAUCUACAUCAUCACCAACACUUGCUAUUUUCCAUUUCAUUAAUGAUAGCCAUCCUAGUGGAUUUGAAGUGGUACCUUAUUAUCGUGGUUUUGAUUGCAUUCUCUAUUGACUAAUGAUAUCGAGCAUCUUUUCAUGUA
rnacentral:lncRNA from 10 species